AGUGACAGAAGCCAUCGUCCGCA
rnacentral:piRNA from 1 species